rnacentral:lncRNA from 1 species
UGAAUGACAGCUGUUUGAAUUUUUAUAAUUAUUCCCUAAAUCCAGUUUGAAUCUGCAGGAAUCUCCGGAGUCAAACAGAAGAGAACAGGUCAUCAAUACAGAAAGAGGAGAGAAAAAAAAAAAAAAAGCCAAAAAAGCCCAGUGCAAAUUCUAAUGCUCACGGCAUCGUCUUACUUAUAAACUCCCUGCAUACCCACAGCUUUUUGUCUCCUCUUUCAGUAUGAAGUUUUUCACAAUGUUGUUUUGAAACAGAAUAGUGUCUAGAGAACAGUGCUA